CCAAUAGCGUAUAUUAAAGUUGUUGCAGUUAAAAAGCUCGUAGUUGAAUUUCGGGAUCAAUAUGUUGGUCGUGCCUUGGUACGUACUAUCUUAUUGGUUUCUUCCUUCUGACGAACCAUGAUGUCAUUAAUUUGAUGUCAUGGGGAAUCAGGACUGUUACUUUGAAAAAAUUAGAGUGUUUAAAGCAGGCUCACGCUUGAAUAUAUUAGCAUGGAAUAAUGAAAUAGGACGUUUGAUUCUAUUUUGUUGGUUUCUAGGAUCGAUGUAAUGAUUAAUAGGGAUAGUUGGGGGCAUUAGUAUUCAAUUGUCAGAGGUGAAAUUCUUGGAUUUAUUGAAGACUAACUACUGCGAAAGCAUUUGCCAAGGAUGUUUUCAUUAAUCAAGAACGAAAGUUAGGGGAUCGAAGACGAUCAGAUACCGUCGUAGUCUUAACCAUAAACUAUGCCGACUAAGGAUCGGAUGAUGUUAAUUUUUUAAUGACUCAUUCGGCGCCUUACG
rnacentral:rRNA from 1 species